rnacentral:rRNA from 1 species
UUCUGGCUCAGGAUGAACGCUAGCGACAGGCUUAACACAUGCAAGUCGAGGGGCAGCAUAAAAGUAGCAAUACUUGGUGGCGACCGGCGCACGGGUGAGUAACGCGUAUGCAACCUACCUAUCAGAGGGGAAUAACCCGGCGAAAGUCGGACUAAUACCGCAUAAAACAGGGGCACCGCAUGGUGAUAUUUGUUAAAGAAAUUCGCUGAUAGAUGGGCAUGCGUUCCAUUAGGUAGUUGGUGAGGUAACGGCUCACCAAGCCGACGAUGGAUAGGGGAACUGAGAGGUUGGUCCCCCACACUGGUACUGAGACACGGACCAGACUCCUACGGGAGGCAGCAGUGAGGAAUAUUGGUCAAUGGGCGGGAGCCUGAACCAGCCAAGUCGCGUGAAGGAAGAAGGAUCUAUGGUUCGUAAACUUCUUUUGCAGGGGAAUAAAGUGCAGGACGUGUCCUGUUUUGUAUGUACCCUGAGAAUAAGGAUCGGCUAACUCCGUGCCAGCCGCCGC